rnacentral:rRNA from 1 species
CCAAUACCUGCAAGUCGAGCGGACAGAUGGGAGCUUGCUCCCUGAUGUUAGCGGCGGACGGGUGAGUAACACGUGGGUAACCUGCCUGUAAGACUGGGAUAACUCCGGGAAACCGGGGCUAAUACCGGAUGGUUGUCUGAACCGCAUGGUUCAGACAUAAAAGGUGGCUUCGGCUACCACUUACAGAUGGACCCGCGGCGCAUUAGCUAGUUGGUGAGGUAACGGCUCACCAAGGCGACGAUGCGUAGCCGACCUGAGAGGGUGAUCGGCCACACUGGGACUGAGACACGGCCCAGACUCCUACGGGAGGCAGCAGUAGGGAAUCUUCCGCAAUGGACGAAAGUCUGACGGAGCAACGCCGCGUGAGUGAUGAAGGUUUUCGGAUCGUAAAGCUCUGUUGUUAGGGAAGAACAAGUGCCGUUCAAAUAGGGCGGCACCUUGACGGUACCUAACCAGAAAGCCACGGCUAACUACGUGCCAGCAGCCGCGGUAAUACGUAGGUGGCAAGCGUUGUCCGGAAUUAUUGGGCGUAAAGGGCUCGCAGGCGGUUUCUUAAGUCUGAUGUGAAAGCCCCCGGCUCAACCGGGGAGGGUCAUUGGAAACUGGGGAACUUGAGUGCAGAAGAGGAGAGUGGAAUUCCACGUGUAGCGGUGAAAUGCGUAGAGAUGUGGAGGAACACCAGUGGCGAAGGCGACUCUCUGGUCUGUAACUGACGCUGAGGAGCGAAAGCGUGGGGAGCGAACAGGAUUAGAUACCCUGGUAGUCCACGCCGUAAACGAUGAGUGCUAAGUGUUAGGGGGUUUCCGCCCCUUAGUGCUGCAGCUAACGCAUUAAGCACUCCGCCUGGGGAGUACGGUCGCAAGACUGAAACUCAAAGGAAUUGACGGGGGCCCGCACAAGCGGUGGAGCAUGUGGUUUAAUUCGAAGCAACGCGAAGAACCUUACCAGGUCUUGACAUCCUCUGACAAUCCUAGAGAUAGGACGUCCCCUUCGGGGGCAGAGUGACAGGUGGUGCAUGGUUGUCGUCAGCUCGUGUCGUGAAAUGUUGGGUUAAGUCCCGCAACGAGCGCAACCCUUGAUCUUAGUUGCCAGCAUUCAGUUGGGCACUCUAAGGUGACUGCCGGUGACA